rnacentral:tRNA from 1 species
GGGGAUUUAGCUCAGUGGUAGAGUGCUUGCCUAGCAAGCACAAGGCCCUGGGUUCGGUUCUCAGCUCCG